rnacentral:rRNA from 1 species
UAGUCCAUGCCGUAAACGUUGGGCACUAGGUGUGGGGGACAUUCCACGUUUUCCGCGCCGUAGCUAACGCAUUAAGUGCCCCGCCUGGGGAGUACGGCCGCAAGGCUAAAACUCAAAGGAAUUGACGGGGGCCCGCACAAGCGGCGGAGCAUGCGGAUUAAUUCGAUGCAACGCGAAGAACCUUACCAAGGCUUGACAUGGACCGGACCGCCGCAGAAAUGUGGUUUCCCCUUUGGGGCCGGUUUAC